AACUAAAAUGUGGGAGAGCCCAUUGGCUUAUAAAGGUUCUCUGAAGGCGUUUGGAUACCAGCCCCUGCCCAGCUGCUCCGUCUUCCCAUCAGGACUGACAGCCUCUGGGAAGCUCCCUAACUUCUGAAGACACAAGAAGAAAAAAGAUGGACCCUUUGAAAGUCUAUCUAAUUCUGUUUUGCUCUGGAAGGUAUGGUUUUUUAAUG